UCCUUGGUGGUCUAGUGGUUAGGACUUUGCACUUUCAUUACUGCGGCCCAGGUUUGAUCCCUGGUCCAGGAA
rnacentral:tRNA from 1 species